CUUGCUUCUCUUGAGAGCGGCGGACGGGUGAGUAAUGCCUAGGAAUCUGCCUGGUAGUGGGGGAUAACGUUCGGAAACGGACGCUAAUACCGCAUACGUCCUACGGGAGAAAGCAGGGGACCUUCGGGCCUUGCGCUAUCAGAUGAGCCUAGGUCGGAUUAGCUAGUUGGUGGGGUAAUGGCUCACCAAGGCGACGAUCCGUAACUGGUCUGAGAGGAUGAUCAGUCACACUGGAACUGAGACACGGUCCAGACUCCUACGGGAGGCAGCAGUGGGGAAUAUUGGACAAUGGGCGAAAGCCUGAUCCAGCCAUGCCGCGUGUGUGAAGAAGGUCUUCGGAUUGUAAAGCACUUUAAGUUGGGAGGAAGGGUUGUAGAUUAAUACUCUGCAAUUUUGACGUUACCGACAGAAUAAGCACCGGCUAACUCUGUGCCAGCAGCCGCGGUAAUACAGAGGGUGCAAGCGUUAAUCGGAAUUACUGGGCGUAAAGCGCGCGUAGGUGGUUUGUUAAGUUGGAUGUGAAAUCCCCGGGCUCAACCUGGGAACUGCAUUCAAAACUGACUGACUAGAGUAUGGUAGAGGGUGGUGGAAUUUCCUGUGUAGCGGUGAAAUGCGUAGAUAUAGGAAGGAACACCAGUGGCGAAAGCGACCACCUGGACUAAUACUGACACUGAGGUGCGAAAGCGUGGGGAGCAACAGGAUUAGAUACCCUGGUAGUCCACGCCGUAAACGAUGUCAACUAGCCGUUGGAAGCCUUGAGCUUUUAGUGGCGCAGCUAACGCAUUAAGUUGACCGCCUGGGG
rnacentral:rRNA from 1 species